GUACUUGCUUGACAGUACAUAUAAUAAAUUGGAUCACGAUACAGAAGAUUAGCAUGGCCCCUGCGAAAGGAUGACCAUAGGUCGUGAAGCGUUUCCCAUAUUU